CUCCUCCUCCUCCUCCUCCUCUCUUACGCUCCACAACAGACAAACACCUCCCUUUAGAUUCUCCUCCUCUCUCUCUCUCUCUCACUCUCUCACUCUCUCUAUCUCUUUUCUCGCUUUCUCACUGUUUUCCGUCUCUCUCUCUCUCUUUUCUCUCCGUCUCUCCGUCUCUCCGUCUCUCUGUCUCUGUCUCUGUCUCUCUCUCUCUCUCUCUCUCUCUCUCUCUCUCUCUCUCUCUCUCUCUGCGUAACCAUUUGCCAGCGGUCUAUCUCACUCAUGAGAACAUGUUAGCUAGCGUGAAGCACAUGGCCUGUUAUGUACCCUCACAGUUUUUAAGGAACCAAGCGCUCAUACCGAGAAGGGCCAAACGGCUGAUACUCUAAUAAUUUGCUUACUACAAACAAUAACCGAAGCAACAAGUCAAACAAAACAAAAACAAAAAACAAAAGAAAAAAAACAAAAAACAAAAAGCGAAAAAUAUCCACACAAACAUACAAAAAAAAAAGAAUGCAACAAAAGUAACCCCUAAAAAAAAUCAAAUGAAAACAAACCAAAACGAAAUUUAAAUCCGAAGGAAAAAAGGAAAAAAUUAUACAUCACGUUGAUUGAAGCUAUAUACUUCAGUUUUGUUUUUAUAUACAUAUUUAUAUAUACAUACAUAUAUACACAUAACUGCAUAUGCUUAAUCAAACAUAAAUACUAACUUACAUACAUUCAUAUACACGGAAAUUAGGUAUAUAUAAAAAAAAAACAUACAUACAUACAAAUAGUCGUACAUACAUACAAACAACCAUAUAUACAUACAUACACAUUUGUAUAUACAUAUAUGUAUAUAUAUAAGAACAACGGUAAGAAUUGCAAACGUGGAAUUGGAGCUGGAUUCCGGUAAGGCUGGAGGGUCAUACUUGGAAAGAAACUGUCUUGGCUUCUACAAAGGCGGAAUUAUUUAACACGCUUAUAAACAGACGAUAAAUUUGAAGGACUAUGACUGUAAGAAGAGAGAUAUUUACGACACAACCAGAUUUCCUUGUGAGUUUUUAAGAGUUUAUACGAGAUUUUCAUGGUUUUUGUUGUCUGUUUAAGUACGUCAGUCUGUGGUGGGUUGUAUUAGCCUUCAGAAUAUUUUGUUUCAUGUUUGGUGCUGAGGAGUGUUAUUCGUGUUGUUUUUCAUGUUACGUAUGGUACCGCAUGCCUACUCUUACUACACAAACCUGUGACGAAUUGCUAUCAUCUCACUAAAACUACAACAGAAAAGAGGAUCGGUCUGUCUUCUUUUUGCAGAUAUAUCUAAGACUAUGGUAACCGAUAUAUUUAAUCCAUUUUAAAAUUGUGUGAUAAAUUUGAGAAUCAUUGCCUGCCAUUUGUAAAAUUGCAAAACUAUAUUUGCAUAGACAAUUUAUCUCAGAAAGUAACCGUU